rnacentral:misc_RNA from 1 species
AACGCAUCUUGCACCCUCGGGUAUUCCCGAGGGUAUGUCUGUCUGAGUGUCAUUCGAACUCUCAAGGCCUCCUUCCCUUAACUGGGUCGGGGCGCUUUGGAUCGUGGGCGCUUGCCGGCCUGGCCGGCUCGCCUCAAAUCGAAGGUGGUCGUCUCCUCACUGGAGCCUGUUGUCGGGUUUGAUCCGGAGUGAUAGAAGUCUUUCGAGAUCUCUGGGGACUGCUUUAAGGCGGCCUGCUGCGUGGCGCGAGGGAUGGCUUAGGUUAGGACUCUUUUGACGUUUUCGACCUCAGAUCAGGCAGGACUACCCGCUGAACUUAA